CUACGGGGUGCUGCAGUAGGGAAUCUUAGACAAUGGGGGAAACCCUGAUCUAGCCAUGCCGCGUGAGUGAUGAAGGCCUUAGGGUUGUAAAGCUCUUUCGCUGGGGAAGAUAAUGACGGUACCCAGUAAAGAAACCCCGGCUAACUCCGUGCCAGCAGCCGCGGUAAUACGGAGGGGGUUAGCGUUGUUCGGAAUGUACUGGGCGUAAAGCGCGCGUAGGCGGGCUAUUAAGUCAGGGGUGAAAUCCCGGGGCUCAACCCCGGAACUGCCUUUGAUACUGGUAGUCUUGAGUUCGAGAGAGGUGAGUGGAAUUCCGAGUGUAGAGGUGAAAUUCGUAGAUAUUCGGAGGAACAUCAGUGGCGAAGGCGACUCACUGGCUCGAUACUGACGCUGAGGUGCGAAAGUGUGGGGAGCAAACAGGAUUAGAUACCCGCGUAGUC
rnacentral:rRNA from 1 species